AUGGAGGAAUUCCUCGUGAGAAGUUGUUAUACCCCAGGUACAAAACCUUCAGCUUGCUUGAACUUUUCCAAUCUAUGGAUUAUAUAUUAUAAAAAAUCAAUGGAAAUUUUAUAGAUUAUCUAAUGUACAAGUUAAUUUUAUAACUAAAUCAACAAAUAUUUUUCCAACAUUACCAUGGAAUGUUAAGAAGCUAUUUAAAAGGUUAUCCUCUAAAUGUAGGACUUCCAAGUUGCUCAAGUUUGUAAAAGCUGCACAAAAAUAAUGAAUUCGAUAAAAUAAUUAGGGGUUAUGAAUUAUAACUACUAAAAGAGUGCACCCAAACAAAAAAACCCAAAAUCUUGGAAAUGCCCCUUUUUGAAAUUUGGGAGUAAACAAAGUGAUGUACAAUCUAAAUGUGGUUAUAAGUUUCUUGUCAAGAUUCUAGAUUACCUUGGGAGAACUUCGAUGAUGAUCCUUCCAAGUAAUUACCAUUAAGAUUCAUGGUCUUGAGGGAUUCGAGUGCACCCAAGAAUGGUAAGAUACUGUCGUUGCAGUUAUUGUCGCGUAAAACUAAUUCCUCCAAGUUUUGUAAUUUCAAGAAUAUUUCAAACCCUACACCCAAGUAUGUAAAACUAUUAUUCACCCUGAAUUGUUAAAAUGUAGAAGAGUGUCAGAUGAGAUUUCAUCUCAAGGCUAGAUUAUAACAAACUCUUAGGAAAAAAACACACACCAACAAUUACUAAUUUAGCUAGUAGGCUGAUGUUACCUUGGGUCAAUGAUCCCUUACAUAUAUCAGUCCCACUAAGAUUGAGAGUCUUAAGUGAUGUGAGAGUACCCAAGGAUGGUAGAAUGCUGUUGUUGAAAUGGUUGCCUUCUAAAUCUAAGAAAUGAAAUUUUUGCAAUUUGGAUAAUCUAUCAAGACCUACAAUAUAAUUGGCAUGAAAAAGAAAUUAGUACAAGUUAAAUAAAAAAAUAAUGAGAAUCUAAAUUAUAAAUUACCUUCCAAAUUGGUUAGGAAAUUCCAUGAUAAGUCGAGAUGUUGCAACUUUUUUAAGUUGGAUAAUCUAUCAAGACCUACAGUGGCAAGAAUAAAGAAAUUUGUACAAGCUACGUUAAUUAAAAAAAAAAAAAAAAGUCGAGAAUCUAAAUUGUAAAUUAAGUACCGAUCUGAUUAUAAAUUACCUUCCAAAUCUGUAAGGCUAUUUAUUGAUAAGUCGAGAUAUUGCAAUUCUUCAAAGGGAAGAAAGAGUGAUGCAUUUAGAUAUCCAAUAUCCCUAUCUUUGGUGGACAAAAAUGCUCCAUUGAGAGUGAGUUGGAUCACUUGACGGGUAGUGUUGUUGCACCCAACUCUUUCCCAAACACAACAAUCAAAUUCUUUUUUAUCAUCCCAAGUGGAAAGAGGGUCAUCAUCAUAAGAUGCUAUUGGAUCCCAGUCCCUAGAAUUUUUCAAUUCUAAUAGCGCAAUUCUUUCCUUUUCUAAACAACCAAAACAUUUGUUGUGGUUACAUAAUAUAAUGAAAACCCAGAAAGACAGAAGAGUGAGUCGAUAAUAAUAUUCCAUGUUAUGGUAAAAUAAUCACAGAAUUCUAUCUACAUUUUGGCUAGCAAUAUAUUCAUUAUAUAGGCAAAUGAUCUUGAUGAAUGAUGUAAACGUUUGAUAGAGUUGGUCGACUUUUAGGCUUGAGAUAAUGAAAAAUAAAGACAAUUUUUCCAAAAACGUGUGGACUGGACAUGCAGAAAAAGACAAUUUCCACUCACCAGUCACCACUCACCACUCACCACCACAAGGACUUUGACUUGUAGACUUAAAAGUCAAUUAACUUUUAUAGUGUAAUAGAUUUUCAUAUCAGCACUUGACUUGACUUAACACGCCGAAAAACACGCAAGCUUUGAAGAUUGAGUGAAAAAGGGUUUGAUGUGGGCUGAAGCUCUGAGGUAGAGGAAGAAGAAAAUUAAGUAAUACAAAUAUUUGGGCUGAGAAAUUUGUUGCGAAGUAACUCAAGGAAGCUAUGGCAACGAACAUACUGUGUGUUUAGUUAAUGUGAUUUUUUCUUUUUCUUUUUCUUUUUUAAGACUGUUAUCAUGGAUUCAUGGAUCAACACAUAUACAAAUCUAUACUCUCUAUUAAAGUUGGACUUGCCCUUAAGAAAAAUUUAUCUUUUCAAAUUAGAGUAAAUUUGAUGCUUUAAUUGAAGAGAAUUUAACAAAGAUUAAAAUUUGAAGGGUUAUUAUUGUAAAUUUAUAUCUAAUAUGGCUUAAAUAGCUAGAUGUCUACAUUUAAUAACACUAUGGUCAUUUUUGUAUUUUUACGCAAAUAUAUUAAUGACUAACCAAAUUUAAUAGCAAAUACAUUUAAUAACACUAUGACUAUAUUUAUCUUAUUAGCCCCCCCCCCCCCCCUCCAAAAAAAAAAAAAAAAUUUCGUACUUUACUUUUCCUUCCUCGAUAUCUACCCAUGUUCCUGAUACAUCAAAUUCAGUCUAUCCUCUCUUCCUUCUUCAAAUAGUAGUUGGAAAAACACACACACACACACAACCUUCAUUACAAUAGACUAUGUGAAUAGUACAAUACUGUGCAUCUUCCAUUUUUCUUUGCGUACAUGUGCGUCUUCCAUUUUCCUUCCUCGAUAUGUACCCAUGUUCCUGAUACAUCAAAUUCAAUCUAUUCUCUCUUCCUUCUUCAAAUAGUAGUUGAAAAAAUACACACACACACGCACACAACCUUCAUUACAGAUUUACAAUAAACUAAGUGAAUAGUACAAUACUAUGCGUCUUCCAUUUCUCUUUGCGUACAGGUUAAAAAUAAAAUUAUAUGGGGUUUAACUAUAUAACAUGAUUAUGGUGCGUAAUUAUAGCGUAAUUUUAGGGAUUAGUUUAAUCUUAUUUUAUCAAUUAUACUCAAAAAUGGAUAUUUGAAAAGCUGGCCUUUGGCUAAAGAUUAACCCAGGAUAUAAAUUCAAUAGUAUUUUCUGAAAUGGGGUAGGGUUCCCCCCAACCUCGCUUACCAAAAACAACAACAACAACAUUAUUAUUAUUAAUAAUAAUAAUAAUAAUAAUAAUAAUAAUAAUAAUAAUAAUAAUAAUAAUGUAUGUUACAUACUAUAAUAAGCUUCAAUAAGCACCAUAUAUUUUGCAAUCCAACAUUUUAUCCUAGGCUUCAACUUGAUCUUUCAGUAGUUUUAUUGGGUGGAUUAGUUGUGAAUGGUUACUUUACUACUGCAAGUUACUCUAUAUUAUGUUCUUGCUAGACCCUUUUUAUAUUCAAAACUUAAGUCUAGACUCAAAAAAAAAAAAAAAAAAAAAAAAAAAAAAAUGAAUCAAAUCAUAUGACCAGUCUAAUUCAUGGUUUAAACAUUCGUAAGAUUACCAUAGUUUAUUGUCACAAUGAAGUGAAAACAUAAUGGAAAAUUCAAUAAUUGCUAGACAUUAUAGCUCAAAAUCCUAGUCAAACAUUCAAAAAACAAGCAUUUGACGAUAAACUAUUUAAAAAAUUGUAAUGAACCAUAUUUACGAAAAAAAAAUUAGUAGUGUAAUAGAACUGUAAAAAUAACAUGUAACGAAUGACAUACAUUAACAAUUUUUUUUCUUCAAAAGACUACACCUAAUUUAUAUUAUUUAGAGCAAAUUUGAGAUACCCCCUGGAAUAGUUAGGACUCUUUGCGAUUGCCCCCCCAAAAAACUUUCAUUAGAGAUACCCCAAAAAACUCAUUUCGAGCCGGUGAACCAAACCAUUGACCAAGGUUAGACCAGUUUUCAUCACCCUUAGACAAAAAUACCCUUCUCAUUAUCCACACCCAACAAAACUUAAUGAUAAGUCCAUCACCCCCUCCACCACAUCAACCCUACCAUCACCCCCACCCCACCCCUACCACCACCACCACCACCACCACCACUACAUCUACCCUACCAUCACCCCCACCACCACCACCGUACCACCACCACAAUAUCUACCCCACAGCCACCACCACUACAACUACCCUUCCAUCAUCAUCAUCACCACCACCACUAUCAAAUUUCUUCUUAAUCUAAACCGCACCCAUUAGAUUAGUUGAAUCACAAAUCGAAAUUACUUAAUACAAUGUCACCAAUCUCUAAACCACACCCAUUCAAAUUUCUUUGAAUCUUAAUCUUCUUCAAUCAUUCUCAUCAAUCCAUAAAGAAUUGGGGGAAAAACAUUCAAAUCUGAAUUGGUGAAAAAUCUUUGUUUGAUUACUUCAUGUUAAUCAAGAAAUGUGUUGAACAACUUGACUACUGCUACUACUGUUGCUGCUUCUUCAUCUUUGUUCUUGUUUGAGUUGAUUUGAAAUUUUAAUUUCAGAUCUGUUGAUUACUAUUGUUGUUGUUGUUGCUUCUUCACCAAUUUCAGAUCUCUAAACUAUUGUUGUUGUUGAUUAAUUUCAAAUCUGCUUAUUAUCAAAUUACUGUAUCUAAUCUUGGAAAAGGGUUCUUCUUGGGAAUUGUGCGAAAUUUGGUGGUGGUGUGGUAGAUGUAGUGGUGGUUGUGGUGGAUACAAUUUGGUUAUGUUAAGUGCUUUGUUGACAUGGCCUAUGGGCAGCUGACUAGGAUUUCAAUUUAAUUGAAGAAAGGGGUGUUUUUGUCCAAAAUAGAUGAAGAUUGGUCAAGCUUUGGUCAAUGGCUCGGUUGAUUAGCUUGAAAUGAGUUUUUGGAGGUAUCACUAAUGAAACUUUUUUGGGGGGGCAAUCGCAAAGAGUCCAUACUUUUCUAGGGGGUAUCUCAAAUUUGCUCUAUUAUUUAAUAACAUCCAUGUUUUGCACGGGCCUUAUAACUAGUUGAAUUAAACAACAAGGCUAUGAAUGCUCUCUAAAACCCGCAAAACGCAUUACAUCGAUCAAUUACAUCCAACUUACUUAUAAAAAAACAAUUAAUUGUCUUUACCUAUUAAUUGUUGAAUACAAUUAACAUUAUUUAUUUUGUCGUGUUUUUUUCCAAUUUUUCUUGAGUUUCCUCUGUAGUGCGUGCAUAGAGGUGUAAAUUUCUGCCAAUUUUUUUUAUUUUUCUGAUCUCGGAUCCAAUUAUUUUCGAAUUUGGAAUAGAUUAUUGCAGUUCCAAUUAGGGCUGCAAUCUGAGCCGAGCGGCUCGGGCUCGGCUCGGGCUCGGCUCGAUAAAAGCUCGGCUCGGCUCGCUCAUUUAUCUAAACGAGCCGAGUUCGAGCCGGUUUUUGAGCUCGUCACGAGCCCGAGCCGAGCUCGAGCUCUAAACGAGCCGAGCCGAGCAGCUCGUUAACUAUGGGCUUAGGCGGUUGGGCUUGGGCAGUUGGGCUCGUUAACAUACAGUGGGCUUUUUUUUUCUCUUUUCUUUUCUCUCUCUCUUUCUCUUUCUCUGUUCUUCACUUCUUCUAGUGCGUUCUGCAAACAUUAGAUCUACAUCUACUCACAAUACUGUUGAUUCACCACUACGUCUGAUCUCUUCUCUUUAACACACAAUUCUUUCAUUUUACUUGUUCUCAACCUUCAUUAACUUUGAAUUGUUUGCAUUUCAGUUCAAUUUCAUUAAGAUAUUCAUUAUUUGUUCAAUUUCAAUUUCAAUUAUUUCAUUAAGAUAUUCAUUAUUUGUUCAAUUUCUAUACAGAAAUUCUAACAAUUUUCUUCUAUUGCAACGUUUUGCAAUCACAGAAGGUUAUCUGUGUGACUAGAUCUAGAAAGGGUAUUGAAGCUAACUUAAGUUUGAGCAGUGGAGUGAAGUAGGCAUUAAGUCCUCGUAUAUAUCUGUUUGAUAGUCGGUUUGUCUUGCCUUAAUUACAACUUCCCAACUCCUACUCAAAACCAUCAUCACUGCCCAUAACAUCUCUUCAAUAUUAUCAAACCGUAGGUACUCCAUUAGCCUGCCAAUUCUUGUAUAUAUGAAUUUAGAUUACUGUUUGCUAGUGAAAUAUUGUUUGUACAGUGAAUUAGUAAUAUAACGAGCCAAACGAGCCCAGCGAGCCAGCGAGCCAAACGAGCCAAACGAGCCAGCGAGCCGAAACGAGCCGAGCUCGAGUUUUACUUUUGGCUCGCGAGCCGAGCUCGAGCUCAUAGUUCAGCUCGAUCCUAAUUUUGAGCUCGGCUCGGUUAGUAACGAGCCGAGUUCGAGCUUACCUUAGCUCGGCUCGAGCGGCUCGAAUUGCACCCCUAGUUCCAAUUUCCAUAUUUUUUUUUUUUUCGAAAAAAGAUGGAACGGAAUUGGAACUACUCUUGUGAAUCUAAUCCGAUUUGAUUUCUGAUCCAAUUUUUUUUCGAUUGUUAAUUUGAUCCGAUCUAGCCACUCGGCAUGGUCUUCGGGUGAGUUUUGUCACGCUCAUAGCCGUUCGGCAUGGCCUUUGGGUGGGUGAGUUUUGUCACGCUCAUAGCCGUUCGGCAUGGCUUUUGGGUGAGUUUCGUCACGCUCAUAGCCGCUGGGCAUGGCCUUCUUGUGAGUUUUGUCGCGCUCAUAGCCGCUCUGCAUGGCCUUUGGGUGAGUUUUGUCACGCUCAUAGCCGUUCGGGAUGGCUUUGGGGUGAGUUUCGUCACGUUCAUAGCCGCUGGGCAUGGUCUUCGGGUGAGUUUUGUCACACUCAUAGCCGCUGGGCAUGGUUUUCGGGUGAGUUUUGUCACGCUCAUAGCCGCUCGGCAUGGCUUUCGGGUGAGUUUUGUCACACUGAUAGCUGCUGGGCACUCUUGUGGCGAGUGUGUUGGUUUUGUCUCGGGCACUAGCUGGGGGUCUUCCAUGCAACCUUUUCGCAACAUGGUGUGUAGUAGUACCUCCUAGCAAGAAUGCCAUGACUCCUUUGGUGCGAAGGUGAUGUUGGUCUUUUGUUUCGCCUUGACCGUUAACAUGAACCCUAAGGUCCUUAGGACUUCAGUGUUCAUCUUCUUUCUCCAAGUCAACUGGGGAUUGUUCUUGUGAUGGUAAUACAAUGUCAUCUUCAAUGUCCUCUUCAACUUUCGAGGUGGUUGAAGGUCGAGUUCUUUUCCUUGGAUUUGGAUUGACUCCGAACUUAUCAAAAACGCUUGAAGAAGAUGGAGUUAACGAACACUCAUUACCAUUGUGAUUCGCAUGUUUCAACUUCCUCCUUAGACCAUUGUUCUUAUGUUGAAGCCUUUUGAGUUUGCGGUGUAGAUACUCGUUUUCAGAAAUCAUGACUUCUUCAUGUUAAGUAGGCUCCUUGGAUUUUGAUGGUUGAGAAGAAGAAGAAGAAACCGAGUGUUCUUCACGAUUAGAUGGAACCCUCUUAGAAGUGACGAUAUGCUCUCUAGGGUUAGAACCUUGAGAGCGAGCUUGCACAUGUGUUGAACCUUCUUGACAUCCACCAUUACUUACUUGCUUGUUUUGUUGAGAUCUAGUUAUUGCCAUUGAGAAGAAAGAGCUUGAUUCCUUUUGAAAAAUAGGUUUUUUGUGGGGGGAAAGAAAACCUUAGUCGAAGCCAAAGUGUUUCAACCGGAUUUCACACCAAUGUGCGAUGUAAGAUCAAGAAGAAACCCUUAAUGUUAAGAUCUAAGAUAUUGGAGAAGAUGAAGAUGAAGGAAUAUGGUUUUGGUGAUUGAUAAUGGCUGCACUAAGUUGCUUCUUAGUUACCUACGUAUCUAUAAGAGAGAUGGAAUCAAGCCUUUUAUAACGUACUUCAAAUGUAGAGUUUGAUUAGGAUUAGGAUGUGAUCCAUUGAUCCCUAAUGUAGUGUAGUGUUGUAGUCCCAUGUAUUUAGACCAUAUAUUGACAAGAUAAUGUACCUCAUGUCCUAUUAGGAACAUGAGUUGUAAGGAUAUUGGAAUUGUAAUUGGAUUAGGAGUUGUAGAGAUAUUGGAGUUGUAAUUGGAUUAGGUUAAGGAAAUCUCUACAAAGAUGUAGAAUUACCAUAUUAACCUUAUUGAAUAUAAUAGAUAAAACCCAUAAUUGAUAUUGAAUGUAGUAACGGGCCUAAGCCUUAUUACUAAUUGAAUUGGGCUUAGGAUCUUAUUGAUUAUAAUCUUGGGCUUUAACUUGUAAUUGACUUGGGCUUGAGCCUGUUAAGGGGGGUCAACACACCCUCCAUAAUCUAUUUCUCUUCCACUUUUCGAUCAUCUUCAGCGACCUACAUUUUACUUACAUUUACAUUGGCGCCGACUGAUUCGUGAUCGAAUAUUAACUAGACAACGACCAUGACAACAAUCACUUCUGAUCAGUUUGAGCAGCUCCAGAAGUAGAUGGCAUACCAACAAGAACAGAUUAACAGAUUGGUGGCCGAAAACAUUCAACUCAAGACCACCACCACCAUCAACGGAGUUGCUACAAAUGGACUCCAACUGAAGAAGUCAACACCACCACCAUCAACAACCCUGUUUUUCCCACUUCCAGCAAUACCACCGCCCCCACCAUGGCUAACCUUCAGGCUGCUCAUGACAGAAUACUCCAACUGUCCAAAAAACUUGACAAAAAUCCCCAAGACUCCCUCAAAGCCAACACAACCCAAAAAGUUGCAUCCACAACCCUAGAGCGCUAUAAGACAGAACCCCUUCAUGAAGAUCUCCUCCAACAGGAACCACCCCAGAACUUCAUGCCACCAAAGUUUACCACCUACGACGGAAGUGGAGAUCCAAUGGACCACAUCCUCCAAUUCAAGACCAGCAUAACCUUAUGGCCAAAGUACAAAGAUAUAUUCUGCAGAUUGUUCCAAGCCUCACUCCGUGGGAGUGCCAUCGAUUGGUAUCAUCAACUUCCAGAGAAGUCCAUCACAUCAUAUGAUCAACUCGAGUAUCUUUUCGUCACUCAGUACAUUCACAACAAGCGACAAUGAAUCGAGGUCACUGCUCUAUUUCGACUCAAACAGGACGAGUAUGAAACUACUAAAAAGUUCAUGGCAAGAUUCAAGAAGGAAUGCUUGCGAGCUGAAAACCCAGAUGAGAACUCAUGCCUCUUGGCCUUCAUCUCAGCUGUUAACCCCAAUACGGCACUAGAAAAAAAACAUCAUCCUAGAUGCCCCUGCAACGCUGGAAGACCUCUAUGUACGAGCUGAUAAGUACAUCAAGCUCGAGGAAGCCUUAACAAAGUCAAAAGAACGAGUAGCUGUGGUCCAAACUACACAACCUAUUUAUUCUACACCAAAGAUGGCCAAAUCGGAAUACAAAGGCAAACCAAAAUCGACUUCAAAAUCUAAAUUCCCAAACCCUUUCAAAUGUUCCUACAACCAACUCUUUGACCUAAUCAAAGAUGGGCCUUACUUCCAACCCCAAGUACACGACCUUGAACCUAUCGAAGGGAAUCCAUACUGCAAACUUCAUAAAUGUCGACAUCAUCUCACUGAAGAUUGUCGCAUCCUGAGAGCUUAUUGUCAUAAGUUCAAUGGGGAAGGUCACCUCGAUGACUUCCUCUCGGAAAAUGAACCAGAUCUUCGUAACAAGCUCGAUGCAAAACGACAAAAGACAACCGAAGAAAAGGGUAAAAAACCUAAAGGAACUAUCAACAUGAUCAUGGACACCCGACCUCCAGAAUGGUCAGCUCGAUCCAAGAAGCAGAAGAUUCACCACAUUCACCAUACCUUCCAUCUAACCCACAAAGCAAUUGUGGUCAAGCAGGUCGCGGGCAACAAUGCCCUCAUAUUCUCAGAUUUGACCUCAAAAAAGUGUGUCUUCCACACAAUGAUGCACUCGUCAUCCACAUCAACAUUGCUGGAUGGCUAAUUAAAAAAGUACUCAUUGACCCAGGAAGCUCAUGCGACGUGCUCUUCAAUAAGACAUUCAGUCAAAUGCAAAUGCCUGACUCAGUUCUGCAUAGGGGUGGGCAAAAAAACUGAAAAACCGAAAACCGAACCGAAAAAACCGAGUCAAAACCGGUCAAAACCGAGUUGACUAAAAACUGGUCAAGAUCGGACCGAAACCGAACCGAACUAUAUAGCUAUUGGUCUGGUCUCGGUUCUUGUUUUUAUAGAACCGAGAGAACCGAACCGAACCGAAAUAAAUAAAAAAAUAUUUUUUUUAUUAGUAAAUUACUAAACUAGACAUUUUUUUUUUGUUUUUACAUUUGUUUGAUUUUGUAAUUGGUUGUGGACUUAUGGUGGAUCCAUGGUUGGUUCAUUGGUUUUGGACCUUUUUCCUAUUUAGUACUUGAUUUGGUGUAUGUCUUAUUUUGUUUAAAGCCCAAAACUUAAGGAUAAUCAUCUAAAUUGUAGUGGACUAAAGGCCCAAUAAAAAAGCCCAGGACCGAGUUUCGGACCGAAACCGGACCGAUUGUAUUUGGUCCGGUUCGGUCCGGUUACAUUCAAAUAAUUUCGGUCCAUGGAACCGAAACCGAACCGAUACUUUCAAGUCGGUUUGGUCCCGGUCCUAUUACAUUUUAGGACCGGACCGGACCGUGCCCACCCCUAGUUCUGCACAAGCCUCAAUUCACCCUCUUUGCGUUCAAUUCCACUGAAACAGAAGCAAAGGGUGAAAUCUGCCUUCCUGUGGCAACCAGUGAAAGUGAAGAUGAAGUUACUGUUCACUGCACAUUUUUCGUGUUGGAUGUUCCCACCCAGUUCAAUGCAAUCUUGGGACGAAAAUGGAUCCAUAGGAUGAAAGUUGUUCCAUCCACUUACCAUCAAGUCAUCAAGUUUCUUGGCCCCCGAGGCAUAAUGGAACUACGAGGUGACCAGAUUGAGACACAUGGAUGUCGUGCAAUACCUGAGGUCAUCCCACUUCCCAAUAAGGUGGAGACCUCUAAGACAGUCGCGAACUCACUUCAGUCCACUGUCAAUGCGAUCUCUGCUAUUACCAAGACAGUCGCGAGCACAUCCAAGCCCACUGUCGAUGAGAUCUCACAGGCCGACAAGGGCAAGGCUAUCAUUCAGCAAUCCGACCCACCAGUCAUUCAAAAAGGUGAAAAGGUCAACAUAGGAUCGGACGACGAUCCAAAAUAUGUCUAUGUAGGGGCUAACUUGGACCCCAUUGUAAAAAAACAACUUAUUGCCACUCUUAAGAUGAAUAAGAAUGUUUUUUCUUUUGCUUAUACUGAUAUGCCAGGGAUAAAUCCCAAGAUUGCAUGCCAUAGGUUAAACGUUGAUUCCAACAAAAAAUCUGUUAAACAAAAAGCUCGCAAACUUGCAGCUCAUCUCGCUAAUGCAGUCAAUGCAGAGAUACAAAAAUUAAAAGAGGCCAAAUUUAUUCGUGAAGUCGCAUACCCUGAAUGGCUCGUUAACAUUGUCGCAGUCAUAAAACCAAAUGGUAAAGUUAGGGUAUGCAUCGACUCCACGGAUCUCAACAAAGCUUGUCCGAAAGAUAGCUUCCCCCUACCUCGAAUAGACAAGCUCGUAGACUCAACUGCGGGUCACGAGCUCAUCUCCUUGAUGGAUGGCUAUUCAGGUUAUAAUCAAAUCAAACUUGCAGAUGAAGAUCAAGAGAAAAUUGCGUUCAUUACCGAACAAGGUAUCUUUUGCUAUACAACCAUGCCUUUCGAACUAAGAAAUGCAGGGGCUACGUAUCAACGACUUGCAAAAAAAAUGUUCGAAGAGAUGAUUGCACCACAAUGGAGGUAUACGUUGACGAUAUGAUUGUCAAAAGCAAACAAAAAUCAUCUCACGUAUCCGACCUCGAAAAGAUAUUUCACCGACUUCAUGAAUACAAUAUGAAGCUCAACCCGAAAAAUGUUUAUUUGGCGUUGCCUCCGGAAAAUUCUUGGGAUUCCUCAUUACACAACGAGGGAUAGAGGCAAACCCAGAAAAAAAUCAAGGCUAUAAUAGAAAUGCCAAGCCCAAAGACCAAGAAGCAAGUCCAAAAGCUCAACGGCAUGUUAGCAGCCUUGAACAGAUUCAUCGCUCGGGCAUUAGACAAACAACGCCCUCUACUUCAAAUACUGAAGAAAGGAUCAACAUACAAUUGGACUCCAGAAUGCCAACAAGCAUUCGACGAGCUCAAACUAUAUCUUGCAACUCCCCCUGUCAUCACAGUGCCACAAGAAGGCGCCGUACUGGGGCUUUACCUCGGAACUUCGGAGCAUGCAAUCAGUGGAGUACUAUUCCGAGAUGAAGGUGGUAUCGAGAGACCAAUAUACUUCAUCAGCAAGACAUUGUUGCAAUCUGAAGCUAGAUAUUCAAGUCUUGAAAAAAUAGGUUUAACCUUACUCUUCGCAUCAAGAAAGCUAAAACCGUAUUUCCAAUGGCACAAAAUAAGGGUCAUCACAGAUGCACCACUUCGACAAGUGGUUGAAAAUAAAAACAAAUCAACAAGAAUGGCAAAAUGGGCUCUGGAACUCGGAGAUCAUGAGCUCAUCUUCACCCCACGUUGCAGCAGAAAAGGUCAAAUAGUAGCCAACCUCCUGGUCGACUAUGCCAUUAAUGACAAUACAAUGGGUGCCACACAAUGAAGUUAGUGAACAACCAUUCAUCAAAGCCCCGAUAUGGAAACUUCACGUCGAUGGCUCAAAGAACCUCACUGGCUCAGGUGUUGGUGCAACACUCAUCUCGCCAGAGGAGGUCAUCUUAGAAAAGUCAGUCCGGUUAAACUUCAUCUCGUCCAACAAUGACGCGGAAUAUGAAGCAUUAAUCACCGGCAUACAAAUGGCCAGAACCUUACAGGUAAAAGAGUUACAGAUUCUAAGUUACUCACAAUUAGUGGUCAACCAACUCUUUGGUGACUACGAAACAAGGGAGAAGACUCUAAAGCUAUACGUAGCGCAUACCAAGAAGUUGCUAACUCAUUUCAGCAAGUUGGAAAUCUAGCAUAUCCCACAAGAUGAUAAUCGUCACGCCGACAGUCUAGCAUAUCUAGCCUCACAAAUUGACACAGAAUCGCCUCAAGUAAUUCAAAUCGACAUACAAUCAGCUCCGACAUACGAGACUCAGAUCCACCAGGUAAACGAAAUCUCCGAUUUCAUAGAUAUUCCCCAAACUGAGAUUGAAGACUCAUGGAUGGGCCCAAUCAUCAACUACUUGAGAGGAAUAUAUCCAGAUGACGACUUCGAGCUACGCAAGCUCGAAAGAAAAGCUACAUCUUGCUUGAGAAUAGACUAUACAGAAAGUCAACUAGAGGGCCUUACUUACGGUGCCUCCCACCAAAUCAGGCACAUACAAUUCUAGCUGAAAUUCAUCAUGGCGAAUGUGGAAAUCAUGCAGGGGCUAGAUCCCUAGCUCAAAAAGCAUGAAAUGAAGGCUACUUUUGGCCAUACAUGUAAUCAGACUCAGAAAAAUUCGUCCAACAUUGUGACAAGUACCAAAGGUUCUCACCAUUCAUCCACUAGCCAGCUCGAGAACUCAAAACAAUCUCAAGCCCUUGGCUAUUCGCAAUUUGGGGGCUCGACAUUGUAGGACCCAUCCUAAAGGAUAAGACCAAGAAGAGAUUUCUACUUGUGGCAACAAACUACUUCAGUAAAUGGAUCGAAGCAAUACCCCUACGACGCAUAAGACAACAAAAUGUAAAUUUGUUUUUAUGGAAAUUCAUCAUAACUCAAUUUGGAUUACCCCACACUCUAGUCACCGUUAACGGACAACAGUUCUGUGGUAACACAAUAAAGGAAUUGGGAAGGUCCAUACAUCAUCAAGAAUGACCUCGUCCUCAGAAAAGUUUUCUCCAACACAAAGAAAUCUGGAGAUGGAAAACUAAAUCCUAAUUGGGAAGGUCCAUACAUCAUCAAGAAUGACCUCAAAAAUGGUGCAUAUACACUCAUCGACGCAGAAGGUGAACAAGUGCCUAGACCUUGGAACUCAAAAUUCCUAAAGCUUUACCUCCCCUAACUACUUUUCCAAAUAACCCUUUUUACUUCUCUUUAUCAAAUUGGAAAAUCAAGCCAGAAAGCAUAAGUCAGACAUUUUACGAGCUAGGCCUUUCAUACACACCCAACCAUUACAAUAAAAGUCUAAAUCGGCAUGGGCUUAGACAAAUUGUAGAACCAAAACAUUCAUUCCUUCUCAAACAAAACCUUUAACCAUUCAUUCAAUUAUAUCAAUAAGUAUUUUAAAUACAACCCACAAUCAAAAAGCGUAGGGCCAACAGAAGUCGGAAUUCCCUACUAUUGUUUUACAACCAAUCAAAACAUAAAAACCUCGCAACCUCGGUAAACAAAAUCUAUAUAGACCUAUUGCUGAAGGGGUUGCUCAUCCAUCACUACGUCGUCGCCUUCGCCAGGAUUCUCAGACUGGGUACCGACGUCAACACCAUCAGCAACUUCGGCAUCGCCCUCAACAAUAACCCCACCCGAGCUAGUCUGGCCUUCUGCUCCAUUCACAUCUCGAUCAUAUCGUUCCAAAACUGAGAUCUUGAUUGCCUCCUGGUCAACACUAGGGUCAAAACCGUCGACAAGUGAGGCAAGAUGCGGUUCGCGACGAAGGCAGCUUUCCUCCCAAACGUAGGCUAUCUUACGCCAUUGUGAUAUAACCUCAACAGAUUUUGUGGCAUCGGAUUCCCAACUUGAGGUCACAAAGGCUAGUUGACUCUCGAGCUUCAAAAACACUUGGUGCGCCUCAUCAAUGUCCUUAUUCAGCUGGGUAUUGUCUUUUCUUGAAGCAUCGAGCUUGACUUUCAAAUCUUUUACCUGAGCUCGGAGAUUGGUGUUCUCAGCGUUGGCUUUCUGCAGAUUUUUAGCCUUCUUUCUCGCAUUUUCGAGCUUCGUGACCCACUUGUUGUGAAUCACAUUCAUCUAGGC
rnacentral:lncRNA from 1 species